UGCUUAAUCACGGCACAAGGUGCUGUGACAAGACAUCACCCGGAAGCUCUUGCUCCGAAGCUCGUCGAUACGGUGGUGCAGUCAAAUCGGGGAUAGUUCCUGACGGCUUCGCGUGAGGGAUGAAAUCUUUAGAAGAUAAGGUUCCGGCCCGGUAGCUCCAUCCAAGUCGGGGCCCGACAAUUCAAGUGGAGAUAAGCCUGUAGAAAGCAUAUGGUUUCUCUGUUUGGACGAGGGUUCGACUCCCUCCAGCUCCACAA
rnacentral:tmRNA from 1 species